GACGAACUCUGGCGGCGCGCCUAACACAUGCAAGUCGAACGAGCGAGAGGAGGUCUACUUUCUCAAGCGAGUGGCGAACGGGUGAGUAACGCGUGAGGAACCUGCCUCAAAGAGGGGGACAACAGUUGGAAACGACUGCUAAUACCGCAUAAGCCCACGACCCGGCAUCGGGUAGAGGGAAAAGGAGCAAUCCGCUUUGAGAUGGCCUCGCGUCCGAUUAGCUAGUUGGUGAGGUAACGGCCCACCAAGGCGACGAUCGGUAGCCGGACUGAGAGGUUGAACGGCCACAUUGGGACUGAGACACGGCCCAGACUCCUACGGGAGGCAGCAGUGGGGAAUAUUGCACAAUGGGGGAAACCCUGAUGCAGCGACGCCGCGUGGAGGAAGAAGGUCUUCGGAUUGUAAACUCCUGUUGUUGAGGAAGAUAAUGACGGUACUCAACAAGGAAGUGACGGCUAACUACGUGCCAGCAGCCGCGGUAAAACGUAGGUCACAAGCGUUGUCCGGAAUUACUGGGUGUAAAGGGAGCGCAGGCGGGAAGACAAGUUGGAAGUGAAAUCCAUGGGCUCAACCCAUGAACUGCUUUCAAAACUGUUUUUCUUGAGUAGUGCAGAGGUAGGCGGAAUUCCCGGUGUAGCGGUGGAAUGCGUAGAUAUCGGGAGGAACACCAGUGGCGAAGGCGGCCUACUGGGCACCAACUGACGCUGAGGCUCGAAAGUGUGGGUAGCAAACAGGAUUAGAUACCCUGGUAGUCCACACUUAAACGACAUAAGAGGGUGGAGGAUUGACCCCUUCAGUGCCGCAGUUAACACAAUAAGUGAUCCACCUGGGGAGUACGACCGCAAGGUUGAAACUCAAAGGAAUUGACGGGGGCCCGCACAAGCAGUGGAGUAUGUGGUUUAAUUAGACGCAACGCGAAGAACCUUACCAAGUCUUGACAUCCUGCGACGAUGCUGGAAACAGUACUUUCCUUCGGGACGCAGAGACAGGUGGUGCAUGGUUGUCGUCAGCUCGUGUCGUGAGAUGUUGGGUUAAGUCCCGCAACGAGCGCAACCCUUAUGGUCAGUUACUACGCAAGAGGACUCUGGCCAGACUGCCGUUGACAAAACGGAGGAAGGUGGGGAUGACGUCAAAUCAUCAUGCCCUUUAUGACUUGGGCUACACACGUACUACAAUGGCGUUAAACAAAGAGAAGCAAGACCGCGAGGUGGAGCAAAACUCAGAAACAACGUCCCAGUUCGGACUGCAGGCUGCAACUCGCCUGCACGAAGUCGGAAUUGCUAGUAAUCGCAGAUCAGCAUGCUGCGGUGAAUACGUUCCCGGGCCUUGCACUCAC
rnacentral:rRNA from 1 species